rnacentral:rRNA from 1 species
GGAUAACCUACCCUUAGGACUGGGAUAACCUUGGGAAACUGAGGAUAAUACCGGAUAGGCAAUUUUUCCUGUAAUGGUUCUUUGUUUAAAUGUUUUUUCGCCUAAGGAUGGGUCUGCGGCCGAUUAGGUAGUUGGUUAGGUAAUGGCUUACCAAGCCGUUGAUCGGUACGGGUUGUGAGAGCAAGAGCCCGGAGAUGGAACCUGAGACAAGGUUCCAGACCCUACGGGGCGCAGCAGGCGCGAAACCUCCGCAAUGUGAGAAAUCGCGACGGGGGGAUCCCAAGUGCCAUUCUUAACGGGAUGGCUUUUCAUUGGUGUAAAAAGCUUUUGGAAUAAGAGCUGGGCAAGACCGGUGCCAGCCGCCGCGGUAACACCGGCAGCUCUAGUGGUAGCAACUUUUAUUGGGCCUAAAGCGUCCGUAGCCGGUUUAAUAAGUCUCUGGUGAAAUCCUGUAGCUUAACUGUGGGAAUUGCUGGAGAUACUAUUAGACUUGAGACCGGGAGAGGUUGGAGGUACUCCCAGGGUAGAGGUGAAAUUCUGUAAUCCUGGGAGGACCGCCUGUUGCGAAGGCGUCUAACUGGAACGGUUCUGACGGUGAGGGACGAAAGUUAGGGGCGCGAAC